UUAUGUAUGUAAGUAUAUCAUAGUCAA
rnacentral:piRNA from 1 species